rnacentral:rRNA from 1 species
UAGGGAAUAUUGGACAAUGGGCGAAAGCCUGAUCCAGCAACGCCGCGGGCGCGAUGAAGGCCUUCGGGUUGUAAAGCGCUUUUCGGGGGGAUGAGGAAGGACAGUACCCCCGGAAUAAGUCUCGGCUAACUACGUGCCAGCAGCCGCGGUAAAACGUAGGAGGCAAGCGUUAUCCGGAUUUACUGGGCGUAAAGCGCGUGCAGGCGGUUCGGUAAGUCGGACGUGAAAGCUCCUGGCUCAACUGGGAGAGGCCGUUCGAUACUACCGAACUAGAGGGCAGGAGAGGGAGGUGGAAUUCCGGGUGUAGCGGUGAAAUGCGUAGAUAUCCGGAGGAACUCCAGUGGCGAAGGCGGCCUCCUAGUCUGCCCCUGACGCUCAGACGCGAAAGCUAGGGGAGCGAACGGGAUUAGAAACCCCGGUAGUCCUAGCUGUAAACGAUGCGGACUUGGUGUGGGUGGCUUAAACUCCAUCCGUGCCGUAGCUAACGCGAUAAGUCCGCCGCCUGGGGACUACGACCGCAAGGUUA